AUCUAAAUUUAGCUUUAACAUACAGGAAGAAUACGGUUAAUAUCAGCUCAUACAGCCGAACAUUCUGAUAUCGUAUUAGUUUCCAGAAUGUCACAAGAAAAGAAGAUCAGCUGCAGCAGUUCUGAAAAAGAAGAACUACAGGAUAAACAGAUAUUGAUCAACAAUGAAUUUUGUGAGGAAAAUGGAAUCGCAGACCUAACACUGAUUGUAGAGAAUCACAAAAUACCUGUUUCUAAUACAGUUUUGUGUAUAGCAUCCCCCGUUUUCCGUACAAUGCUAGAAGGUCACUUCCGGGAAAAAACAGAGACUGAGAUACCACUACCUGGCAAAAGUUACGAAAACUUCGUACAAUUUCUGAAAUGUAUUUAUCCUGACAAGACAAAAAAGGUGAAAG